GAGGGAGUCCCUCCCUCUAAAAGCACUCUGUGUGGGGAACAUGAGAGCCAGACCAAAGCUCAGAGGAAGAAACGAGGAACUAAAUGCAAACAUGAACCUCAACCCAGCUCUGUGUCCUUAAAGAGUGAUAUAUUGAUGGAUGUCAUAAGAAGAACUGAACAACAGCAUUUAUCUCACAAAAUGAUCUAUGAGAGGGCCCAAGCUGGACCUCCACCCAGCUGUCUGCCACCUAAAAACAAACGGGUCAAGGGUUUGUUUAGUAAGUUAGGGGGGACAAAGUCAUCUAACAAAAAGAUCCAUCAGAGAUUUAAACCUGGGCCCAGCUUUGUGUCCUUAAGGAGUGACCAGUCUAUAGAGG